rnacentral:rRNA from 1 species
AGCAGCCGCGGUAAUUCCAGCUCCAAUAGCGUAUAUUAAAGUUGUUGCAGUUAAAAAGCUCGUAGUUGAAUUUCGGGACCAUCAUGUCGGUCGUGCCUCGGUACGUACUGGCAUUGUUGGUUUCUCCCUUCUGACGAACCAUGAUGUCAUUUAUUUGGUGUGUGUGGGAAAUCAGGACUGUUACUUUGAAAAAAUUAGAGUGUUUAAAGCAGGCUCACGCUUGAAUACAUUAGCAUGGAAUAAUGAAAUAGGACGUUUGAUUCUAUUUUGUUGGUUUCUAGGAUCGACGUAAUGAUUAAUAGGGAUAGUUGGGGGCAUUAGUAUUCAAUUGUCAGAGGUGAAAUUCUUGGAUUUAUUGAAGACUAACUACUGCGAAAGCAUUUGCCAAGGAUGUUUUCAUUAAUCAAGAACGAAAGUUAGGGGAUCGAAGACGAUCAGAUACCGUCGUAGUCUUAACCAUAAACUAUGCCGACUAGGGAUCGGAUGAUGUUAAUUUUUUAAUGACUCA